rnacentral:rRNA from 1 species
GCCUGAUCCAGCCAUACCGCGUGGGUGAAGAAGGCCUUCGGGUUGUAAAGCCCUUUUGUUGGGAAAGAAAAGCAGUCGGCUAAUACCCGGUUGUUCUGACGGUACCCAAAGAAUAAGCACCGGCUAACUUCGUGCCAGCAGCCGCGGUAAUACGAAGGGUGCAAGCGUUACUCGGAAUUACUGGGCGUAAAGCGUGCGUAGGUGGUUGUUUAAGUCUGUUGUGAAAGCCCUGGGCUCAACCUGGGAAUUGCAGUGGAUACUGGGCGACUAGAGUGUGGUAGAGGGUAGUGGAAUUCCCGGUGUAGCAGUGAAAUGCGUAGAGAUCGGGAGGAACAUCCAUGGCGAAGGCAGCUACCUGGACCAACACUGACACUGAGGCACGAAAGCGUGGGGAGCAAACAGGAUUAGAUACCCUGGUAGUCCACGCCCUAAACGAUGCGAACUGGAUGUUGGGUGCAAUUUGGCACGCAGUAUCGAAGCUAACGCGUUAAGUUCGCCGCCUGGGGAGUACGGUCGCAAGACUGAAACUCAAAGGAAUUGACGGGGGCCCGCACAAGCGGUGGAGUAUGUGGUUUAAUUCGAUGCAACGCGGAGAACCUUACCUGGUCUUGACAUGUCGAGAACUUUCCAGAGAU